UAGGUGUGUAGUACCCAAUGAUGUACAAGGUGUUCAAAGACUAGACCACAUUAUAACAUGGAUAUUGGAUCAUCCUGAUGCUGUGGCUGAAGAGAACGAGAGAAGAGCACAAGAAGAGAGAGAGGAGGAGGCAAGAAGGGCAGCAGCGAGGCAAGGAGAGCAGAAGAAGCAGCCAGACAAGAAGAGAUGAAUAGGAACCAACAGCAACAAUCACAAACCACUGCAGCACAAGAAUUCCUUUCUUCAUUUGGCAAUUUAUUUUGAUGAUGAUGACGAUGAAGCAGAAACUGCCCCACUUUCUAGCAUUGACCACGCCCCUCUCAUUCUAGGAGGACCUAGCCACACUGAUGAAGUUCCUAAUAUAAGUUUGGCUG